CCUACGGGAGGCAGCAGUGAGGAAUCUUGCACAAUGGGGGAAACCCUGAUGCAGCAACGCCGCGUGGAGGAAGACGGCCCUCGGGUUGUAAACUCCUUUUAUCUGGGACGAACAUUGACGGUACCAGAUGAAUAAGAGGUGGCUAACUACGUGCCAGCAGCCGCGGUAAU
rnacentral:rRNA from 1 species